rnacentral:rRNA from 1 species
AGGGUUUGAUCCUGGCUCAGAAUGUACGUUGGCGGCGUGGAUAAGGCAUGCAAGUCGAGCGGAAAGGCCCCUCCGGGGGUACUCGAGCGGCGAAAGGGAGAGUAACGCAUGGAUCAUCUACCUCGAGGACCGGGAUAGCUGCGGGAAACUGCAGGUAAUACCGGAUAAUGUCGUAAGACCAAAUGGUGCUUCCGCCUUGAGAUGAGUCCGUGUCCUAUUAGCUUGUUGGUGUGGUAAUAGCGCACCAAGGCAUCGAUGGGUACCGGGUGUGAGAGCAUGGCCCGGCUCACUGGGACUGAGACACUGCCCAGACACCUUCGGGUGGCUGCAGUCGAGAAUCUUCGGCAAUGGACGAAAGUCUGACCGAGCGACGCCGCGUGAGGGAUUGAAGGCCCUAUGGGUCGUAAACCUCUUUCGAUUGGGAGGAAAUCCAAGGGACCACUCUUGGUUGACCAAUCUUUGGAAGAAGGACGGGCUAAGUUCGUGCCAGCAGCCGCGGUAAGACGAACCGUCCAAACGUUAUUCGGAAUCACUGGGCUUAAAGGGUGCGUAGGCGGCUUAGUAAGUUGGGUGUGAAAUCCCCCGGCUCAACCGGGGAACUGCGCUCAAAACUACUAAGCUAGAGGAAGAUAGAGGCAAGCGGAACUGAUGGUGGAGCGGUGGAAUGCGUUGAUAUCAUCAGGAACACCAGUUGCGAAAGCGGCUUGCUGGGUCUUUUCUGACGCUGAGGCACGAAAGCUAGGGUAGCGAACGGGAUUAGAUACCCCGGUAGUCCUAGCUGUAAACGAUCAGUACUUGGUCGAGGGCUACUUCAUAGGCUCUCGGCCGUAGCGAAAGUGUUAAGUACUGCGCCUGGGGAGUAUGGUCGCAAGGCUGAAACUCAAAGGAAUUGACGGGGGCUCACACAAGCGGUGGAGGAUGUGGCUUAAUUCGAGGCUACGCGAAGAACCUUAUCCUGGAUUUGACAUGCAUAGGAAUCCUGAAGAAACUUGGGAGUGCCGCAAGGUAACCUUAGCACAGGUGCUGCAUGGCUGUCGUCAGCUCGUGUCGUGAGAUGUCGGGUUAAGUCCCUUAACGAGCGAAACCCUUAUUGUUAGUUGCCAGCGCGUAAUGGCGGGGACUCUAGCGAGACGGCCGGUGUUAAACCGGAGGAAGGUGGGGAUGACGUCAAGUCCUCAUGGCCUUUAUGUCCAGGGCUGCACACGUCCUACAAUGGUGUACACAAAGGGAAGCGAACCCGCGAGGGCAAGCAAAUCCCAAAAAAUGCACCCCAGUUCGGAUUGCAGGCUGCAACUCGCCUGCAUGAAGCCGGAAUCGCUAGUAAUCGUAGGUCAGCAUACUACGGUGAAUGUGUUCCUGAGCCUUGUACACACCGCCCGUCAAGCCACGGAUGUAUGGGCCCGCGAAGUCGCCAAGCUAACCUUCGGGAGGCAGGCGCCGAACGGGAACAUUUCGACCGGGACUAAGUCGGAACAAGGUA